rnacentral:rRNA from 1 species
UACGUAGGGGGCAAGCGUUGUCCGGAAUCAUUGGGCGUAAAGCGCGUGUAGGCGGCCCGGUAAGUCCGCUGUGAAAGUCGGGGGCUCAACCCUCGAAUGCCGGUGGAUACUGUCGGGCUAGAGUGCGGAAGAGGCGAGUGGAAUUCCUGGUGUAGCGGUGAAAUGCGCAGAUAUCAGGAGGAACACCAAUUGCGAAGGCAGCUCGCUGGGACGUGACCGACGCUGAGACGCGAAAGCGUGGGGAGCAAACAGG